rnacentral:rRNA from 1 species
CAAGUCGAACGGGGAUCAUCGGAUUAGCAAUAAUUCGGCGGUCCUAGUGGCGCACGGGUGAGUAACACGUGGGUAACCUGCCCUAGAGUUCGGGAUACCCCCUCGAAAGGGGGGCUAAUACCGGAUACGGUCCUCGGGUCGACAGGCCUGGGGAAGAAAGGUAGCGCAAGCUGCCGCUCUUGGAGGGGCUCGCGGCCUAUCAGCUAGUUGGCGGGGUAACGGCCCACCAAGGCUAUGACGGGUAGCUGGUCUGAGAGGACGACCAGCCACACGGGGACUGAGACACGGCCCCGACUCCUACGGGAGGCAGCAGUGGGGAAUUUUCCGCAAUGGGCGAAAGCCUGACGGAGUGACGCCGCGUGUGGGACGAAGGCCUUCGGGUCGUAAACCACUGUCAGUGGGAAAGAUGGGUGUCGGCGUGAACAGCGCCGAUACUUGACNGUACCUGCAGAGGAAGCCCCGGCCAACUCUGUGCCAGCAGCCGCGGUAAGACAGAGGGGGCAAGCGUUGCUCGGAAUUACUGGGCGUAAAGGGCGCGUAGGCGGAAUGGCAAGUCGGUCGUGAAAUCCUUCGGCUCAACCGAAGAACGUCGAUCGAAACUGCCGUUCUUGAGGAUUGCAGAGGAGACUGGAAUUCCCGGUGUAGCGGUGAAAUGUGUAGAGAUCGGGAGGAACACCGGUGGCGAAGGCGGGUCUCUGGGCAAUUCCUGACGCUGAGGCUGGAAAGCUUGGGGAGCAAACCGGAUUAGAUACCCCCGGUAGUCCACGCUGUAAACGAUG